rnacentral:rRNA from 1 species
CACCGGCGGCUCGAGUGGUGGGCACUUUUAUUGGGUCUAAAGCGUCCGUAGCCGGCUUGGCAAGUCCCCUGGGAAAUCUGGCGGCUUAACCGUCAGGCGUCCAGAGGAUACUGCCAGGCUUGGGACCGGGAGAGGUGAGAGGUACCUCAGGGGUAGGGGUGAAAUCUUGUGAUCCCUGAGGGACCACCAGUGGCGAAGGCGUCUCACUAGAACGGGUCCGACGGUCAGGGACGAAAGCUGGGGGCACGAACCGG